UACGGAGGGUCCAAGCGUUGUCCGGAAUCACUGGGUGUAAAGGGUGCGUAGGCGGAUUUGUAAGUCAGAGGUGAAAGCCCACGGCUUAACCGUGGAACUGCCUUUGAUACUGCAAGUCUUGAGUCCUGGAGGGGCUGGCGGAAUUCGUGGUGUAGCGGUGAAAUGCGUAGAUAUCACGAGGAACACCGGGGGUGUGGACGGCCAGCUGGACAGGUACUGACGCUGAGGCACGAAAGCGUGGGGAGCGAACAGG
rnacentral:rRNA from 1 species